rnacentral:rRNA from 1 species
CUGGCGGCACGCUUAACACAUGCAAGUCGAACGAGAAGCCCGGAGCUUGCUCUGGGUGGACAGUGGCGAACGGGUGAGGAACACGUGAGGAACCUGCCCUGGAGACCGGGACAACAUCGGGAAACCGUUGCUAAUACCGGAUGCCCUCAUCGGACCGCAUGAUCUGAUGAGGAAAUGGAUUCCGCUCCAGGAUGGCCUCGCGGCCUAUCAGCUUGUUGGUGGGGUAACGGCCCACCAAGGCUUCGACGGGUAGCUGGUCUGAGAGGAUGUCCAGCCACACUGGGACUGAGACACGGCCCAGACUCCUACGGGAGGCAGCAGUGGGGAAUCUUGCGCAAUGGGCGAAAGCCUGACGCAGCGAUGCCGCGUGCGGGAUGAAGGCCUUCGGGUUGUAAACCGCUUUCAGCAGGGACGAAAAUGGCGGUACCUGCAGAAGAAGCCCCGGCCAACUACGUGCCAGCAGCCGCGGUAAUACGUAGGGGGCGAGCGUUGUCCGGAUUUAUUGGGCGUAAAGAGCUCGUAGGCGGUUCGAUAAGUCGGAUGUGAAAUCUCCACGCUCAACGUGGAGGGUGCAUUCGAUACUGUCGUGACUAGAGUCCGGUAGAGGAGUGUGGAAUUCCCGGUGUAGCGGUGAAAUGCGCAGAGAUCGGGAGGAACACCCGUAGCGAA